CACAGGGGAGCUUGUGAAGCAGGCUGAGAGGAAGUCAUCAAACUUCGACCCUUAAACCUGAUGCGGAUAAUGCCGCCGUAGGAAAUCAUAUU
rnacentral:ncRNA from 1 species